rnacentral:lncRNA from 1 species
CGGUCAUACACUUACAAGUAAGCGUACAAAAAGUAUGUGUUUCGGCUCAUUCAAAUAUGUACACACACGUAUAUAUUUAUGUAUAUACAAAUACAUAUACUAAAUUACGCACAUUAUCGGUGACAAACUUUCGUCAACAUUAAUCAGUUUUAACAAUAGCAGACCUAUUCAAGGUUUUCUCCGCUUAGUAACAUGAAUUUUACAUUUUCAAAAUACGUAAUAUGCGCAAUAAUACUUAUAAAUAUAAUUUUCAUUCAAAACACGAAAAUAUAUACUAAAAACAAAAUAAAUUUAGGUCCAUAUUUUAUAAAAAACAGUUUUUCUAAAAAAAUAUAUACUUCAUUAUUAGUUAAUGAUAAAAAUAAAAUAUAUCGAAAAUAUACAUAUGUUAAUUUUUUUUUGCAAAAAAAAAAAAAAAAGUUUAAUUUAUGUUUAAGCGAUAAUGCAAGCCAUAAAAACAGUGACAUGGUACAUGGUGAUGUACCACAAAACUUAAUCGAUGUAAUAAAAAACGUUUUAAUUAAAAAGUACGAAUAUAGACCUAACUACCUAGGUGCAACUUAUACAUUCAAACACUUAUUAAAUUAUUUUAAAAACAAUUCUUUAUCCUUACAAAAUAUUAAGUUUGUACAAACUGAUAGGAAUAAAUAUAUUUAUUUCAAAAAUAAAUUGAAUGAGUUUUUAAAAGAAAAUAAUAUAACGGUGAACGGCCAAAGCGGCAUACAUCUAGAUAAUUAUAACUUUAUUGAAAGGAAAGAAAAGGAAAAGGAAAAGGAAAACAAGGAGGAAGACAAAAAGGAAAGCAAAAAAGAAAAUAAUGAAACUUUGAUUAAACCUAAACAAUUUCAUAUUGAAGGAAAAGGUGGCUGUGAGUGUAGUGGCUGCACAGUAGGGAUGAACAACAUUACUACACCCACUACCGACAAUAAUACAACUACUACCACCACAAACAACAACAACGGUGUUGGCGAAGGAAAAAAUAACAGUAUACUCUGCAUGGUAGCAACGAAACCAAUAAAAAAAUCAAAUGUUAUAUGCAGCAUAAACAAUUCGUAUAUAAUUAAUUUUGAAAACAUCAUAAAACAACUUCAAAAUUUUGUACUAUUCUUUGAAUCUUCUUAUAAAAUAGAUUAUAUUAAUUAUAUAUAUAAACGUGGUUUACAAAAC